ACGGCUCAGUAACACGUGGAUAACCUGCCCUUGGGUCCGGCAUAACCCCGGGAAACUGGGGAUAAUUCCGGAUAACGCACAUAUGCUGGAAUGCUUUAUGCGUAAAAUGGAUUCGUCUGCCCAAGGAUGGGUCUGCGGCCUAUCAGGUAGUAGUGGGUGUAAUGUACCUACUAGCCUACAACGGGUACGGGUUGUGAGAGCAAGAGCCCGGAGAUGGAUUCUGAGACAUGAAUCCAGGCCCUACGGGGCGCAGCAGGCGCGAAAACUUUACAAUGCGGGAAACCGUGAUAAGGGGACACCGAGUGCCAGCAUCAUAUGCUGGCUGUCCAGGUGUGUAAAAUACACCUGUCAGCAAGGGCCGGGCAAGACCGGUGCCAGCCGCCGCGGUAACACCGGCGGCCCGAGUGGUGAUCGUGAUUAUUGGGUCUAAAGGGUCCGUAGCCGGUUUGGUCAGUCCUCCGGGAAAUCUGACGGCUUAACCGUUAGGCCUUCGGGGGAUACUGCCAGGCUUGGAACCGGGAGAGGUAAGAGGUACUACAGGGGUAGGAGUGAAAUCUUGUAAUCCCUGUGGGACCACCUGUGGCGAAGGCGUCUUACCAGAACGGGUUCGACGGUGAGGGACGAAAGCUGGGGGCACGAACCGGAUUAGAUACCCGGGUAGUCCCAGCCGUAAACGAUGCUCGCUAGGUGUCAGGCAUGGCGCGACCGUGUCUGGUGCCGCAGGGAAGCCGUGAAGCGAGCCACCUGGGAAGUACGGCCGCAAAGGCUGAAACUUAAAGGAAUUGGCGGGGGAGCAC
rnacentral:rRNA from 1 species